UGAUACAUCUCGCAACACUGCCCAUACUUUGUUUUGGUCGGUUGCUUAAGAUGGCCGCCGUGGCAGAAGUUCGCGAUCGCGAAGUCUUUGUGCGGAUUAAUCGUCGCGAUAAUCUUGGGAAUCUUAAGUUUUCAAAGUAUUAUACAAGUGCGCUUGUGUCCGACAACUUAAUAAAAGUUUUGUAACCGAUUUUGUAGUAUGGUGAAAUAAAAAUUUAACGGCCCAUCAGCAAGCGGAGCCAACUCCCAGGACAAUUGCAAUUUCCUCAUGGCAAGUGGCUCACAGCGAAAGAGUGUUCAGCCAAACAGCGAUUGCCGUCGACCAGCAAUAGUCGUGAUCCUGACCACAAUCCUCGGAAUCCGGAAAGAGGAUCAUUGGUCUUUCUUUUGUUCCAGAACCUGCUCCAGUAUUACCACCGGAUUUGCCUGUAGAAUGAAGUGCCGUUCCUUCGGAGCCUCAAGCCUUCUUCGGAUGGCACUGGAAAGCGGAGAUUGUCAUCAAAUGGACCCAAUUCAUCCUGCUGUCCAUGGGUGGAAAAAAUCCAAAACUCCUGCCUCCACGAAUACACGACAUGCAAUCGAUGAAGCAGAUCAGCCGCAAAAUACAAUGCAACCGAGUGGUAGGUACUUCUAAUCCGGGAGCACUCGAUCUAGCAUUGGAACGGCGACUACAGUUAAACGGAUCGGCACGAAAAACUUGAACGAGCUUUACGAUUCAUUUCACUCUUGGCUGGAAGAAACUAAUCACUACCUGAAGUGCCUGCAGGCUUGAUUUUAAUCUCUGUCCACUGCGGGUUCUCGGACUAUCACAUGAAGUGCUCCAGUCGUUAUGCUGCAUUAUUUCAAAGUUUUUGAAGCAAUAAAAAUGGAAUAAAUAAUGUAAA